rnacentral:tRNA from 1 species
UCCGGUAUAGUGUAACGGUCAACAUAUCGCGCUUUCAUGAGCUGUCCUACAUCCGCGAAGCUCCGGGUUCGAUUCCCGGUAUCGGAA